AGCAGUCGCCGCGGGAAUACGUAGGGUGCAAGCGUUAAUCGGAAUUACUGGGCGUAAAGCGUGCGCAGGCGGUUUAUUAAGACAGAUGUGGAAUCCCCGGGCUCAACCUGGGAACUGCAUUUGUGACUGGCAAGCUAGAGUGUGGCAGAGGGGGGUGGAAUUCCGCGUGUAGCAGUGAAAUGCGUAGAUAUGCGGAGGUACACCGAUGGCGAAGGCAGCCCCCUGGGCCAACACUGACGCUCAUGCACGAAAGCGUGGGGAGCAAACAGGAUUAGAUACCCCUGUAGUCCCUGUCUCUUAUAC
rnacentral:rRNA from 1 species